GUGGGGAAUAUUGGACAAUGGGCGAAAGCCUGAUCCAGCCAUGCCGCGUGUGUGAAGAAGGUCUUCGGAUUGUAAAGCACUUUAAGUUGGGAGGAAGGGCAGUAAGUUAAUACCUUGCUGUUUUGACGUUACCGACAGAAUAAGCACCGGCUAACUUCGUGCCAGCAGCCGCGGUAAUACGAAGGGUGCAAGCGUUAAUCGGAAUUACUGGGCGUAAAGCGCGCGUAGGUGGUUUUGUAAGUUGGAGGUGAAAUCCCCGGGCUCAACCUGGGAACUGCCUCCAAAACUGCAUGACUAGAGUACGGUAGAGGGUAGUGGAAUUUCCUGUGUAGCGGUGAAAUGCGUAGAUAUAGGAAGGAACACCAGUGGCGAAGGCGACUACCUGGACCGAUACUGACACUGAGGUGCGAAAGCGUGGGGAGCAAACAGGAUUAGAAACCCGGGUAGUCC
rnacentral:rRNA from 1 species